rnacentral:rRNA from 1 species
GUAGUCCACGCCGUAAACGAUGAGAACUAGGUGUGGGAGGUGUCGACUCCUCCCGUGCCGUCGCUAACGCACUAAGUUCUCCGCCUGGGGAGUACGGCCGCAAGGCUAAAACUCAAAGGAAUUGACGGGGCCCGCACAAGCAGCGGAGCAUGUGGUUUAAUUCGAUGCAACGCGAAGAACCUUACCUGGGUUUGACAUGUGAGUGACCGGUGUGGAAACACAUCUUUCCUUCGGGACACUUUCACAGGUGGUGCAUGGCUGUCGUCAGCUCGUGUCGUGAGAUGUUGGGUUAAG